AGUGAACGCUGGCGGUAGGCCUAACACAUGCAAGUCGAACGGCAGCACAGUAAGAGCUUGCUCUUACGGGUGGCGAGUGGCGGACGGGUGAGGAAUACAUCGGAAUCUACUUUUUCGUGGGGGAUAACGUAGGGAAACUUACGCUAAUACCGCAUACGACCUACGUGUGAAAGCAGGGGAUCUUCGGACCUUGCGCGAUUGAAUGAGCCGAUGUCGGAUUAGCUAGUUGGCGGGGUAAAGGCCCACCAAGGCGACGAUCCGUAGCUGGUCUGAGAGGAUGAUCAGCCACACUGGAACUGAGACACGGUCCAGACUCCUACGGGAGGCAGCAGUGGGGAAUAUUGGACAAUGGGGGCGAGCCUGAUCCAGCCAUACCGCGUGGGUGAAGAAGGCCUUCGGGUUGUAAAGCCCUUUUGUUGGGAAAGAAAAGCAGCAGGUUAAUACCCCGCUGUUCUGACGGUACCCAAAGAAUAAGCACCGGCUAACUUCGUG
rnacentral:rRNA from 1 species